CAGUCGCCGCGGUAAUACGGAGGGUGCAAGCGUUAAUCGGAAUUACUGGGCGUAAAGCGCACGCAGGCGGUUUGUUAAGUCAGAUGUGAAAUCCCCGAGCUUAACUUGGGAACUGCAUUUGAAACUGGCAAGCUAGAGUCUUGUAGAGGGGGGUAGAAUUCCAGGUGUAGCGGUGAAAUGCGUAGAGAUCUGGAGGAAUACCGGUGGCGAAGGCGGCCCCCUGGACAAAGACUGACGCUCAGGUGCGGAAGCGUGGGGAGCAAACAGGAUUAGAUACCCGCGUAGUCCCUGUCUCUUAUAC
rnacentral:rRNA from 1 species